GACGAACGCUGGCGGCGUGCCUAAUACAUGCAAGUUGAGCGCUGAAGGUUGGUACUUGUACCGACUGGAUGAGCAGCGAACGGGUGAGUAACGCGUGGGGAAUCUGCCUUUGAGCGGGGGACAACAUUUGGAAACGAAUGCUAAUACCGCAUAAAAACUUUAAACACAAGUUUUAAGUUUGAAAGAUGCAAUUGCAUCACUCAAAGAUGAUCCCGCGUUGUAUUAGCUAGUUGGUGAGGUAAAGGCUCACCAAGGCGAUGAUACAUAGCCGACCUGAGAGGGUGAUCGGCCACAUUGGGACUGAGACACGGCCCAAACUCCUACGGGAGGCAGCAGUAGGGAAUCUUCGGCAAUGGACGAAAGUCUGACCGAGCAACGCCGCGUGAGUGAAGAAGGUUUUCGGAUCGUAAAACUCUGUUGGUAGAGAAGAACGUUGGUGAGAGUGGAAAGCUCGUCAAGUGACGGUAACUACCCAGAAAGGGACGGCUAACUACGUG
rnacentral:rRNA from 1 species